CUUUCUGGAGUCUGAAAUGUUAAGUAUGGAGGCAAAAGCUGAAGCUGGAGCAACAGUCUCAGAAUAUGACAACAACCAUGAGAAUGGAGGCCAUUCAUAGCAGAACUACGAGACAAGAGGAGCCUAGGUCCCUGAGCUGCAGAACUGCAUACUAACCUGAUGAGAAGACUAAUGCUCAGUGAGGUGAACUCCUUCAGGGCCACAGGCUGUAAAGAUCUAAACACCAUCUGAUCCAGUUUCAAUAUGACUGCCUGGAUGAAGAAGGAUUUGAGACUAAGUUUAUUCCUCCAAAGCAAACCAACUGAGAAUGCAGUUUUCAAUGCAACCCAUCAUCAAAGGGAAGGAGUUGAUGAAAAGAAAUGAAAUUGAAACGUGCACCUGGGGAGAAGUGAUUGAAGGUUCUUCAUUUAAGGGAUUGGCUCCUUUUCUCUUAUUAUACUGUGAAAUCUGAAAACAUCUCUUGAAAUUCUGGUCACUGUCUUCUGGACAUCCCAAGGCGCACCAUCUCCACAGUUCCUCCCUCCUAGAUUAUCCCAUCCAGUGUGGCAUCCAGUGUGGCAAAUGGAAAGACUCUUCCAGUGGGCAACUGAAAAGGACACCAAAGAAAGCAGAUACAGCCCAUGAUCAAAGAAGCACAUAACUUCAGUUUGGAACAUGACUGAUAGAAAGAUCAAUUAGACAAUGUACACCAAUCAAAGGUAAGCACCAACAGGUGCUAUUGUACCAGAAAACAAACACAAAGGCUGAGGCUUUCCAGUGUUUG
rnacentral:lncRNA from 1 species